AUGGGGUCAGCUGCUCUCCUGCUGUUGGUACUGCUGCUCUGGGUUCCAGGUUCCACCGGGGACAUUGUGCUGACCCAGUCUCCAGCUACUUUGACCAGGUCUCUAGGGCAAAGUGCCACCAUCUCCUGCAAGGCCAGCCAGAGUGUCUCUAUAGGACCUAUUAAUUUUAUGCACUGGUAUCAACAGAAACCAGGACAGCCCCCCAGACUCCUCAUCUAUGGAGCAUCCAACAUAGAAUCUGGGGUCCCAGCCAGGUUCAGUGGCAGUGGAUCUGGAACAGACUUCACUCUCACCAUUCACCCUGUGGAGGCUGAUGAUGCUGCAACCUAUUUCUGUCAGCAGAAGUCCUCACUGUGGCUCACGUUCGGUGCUGGCACCAAGCUGGAGAUAAAACGGGCUGAUGCUAAGCCUACCGUCUCCAUCUUCCCACCAUCCCGUGAGCAGUUAGAUGCUGGAGGUGCCACAGUUGUGUGCUUCGUGAACGACUUCUACCCCAGAGAAAUCAAUGUCAAGUGGAAAGUAGAUGGCAGUGAAAAACAAGAUGGCGUCCUGGAGAGUAUCACUGAUCAAGACAGCAAAGACAACACCUACAGCCUGAGCAGCACCCUCUCGAUGACCAAAGCAGAUUAUGAGAGGCAUAGCCUGUAUACCUGUGAGGUUACUCAUAAGACAUCAACUGCAGCCAUUGUCAAGACCCUGAACAGGAAUGAGUGUUAG